rnacentral:lncRNA from 1 species
AUUUCUUGUGCUUUUACAAUUUGAUUAUGUGUUGUGAGUUGUAACUUUUGAGUUCUUUCCUAUCUUUAGGUUUCAUCGUAGGUCACUUUAUUGAGAUUUAUUCAUCUUAAGGUUUCAUGCGAACUGAAGAAAGGGGCAAAAUAAUUUGUUUCUUUGCCCCAGAUUGACCCUAAAAUCUGGAGAAUAAAAUCUAAAUUGCUGUUAA